rnacentral:rRNA from 1 species
UACGUAGGGGGCAAGCGUUGUCCGGAUUUAUUGGGCGUAAAGAGCGUGUAGGCGGUCAGGUAGGUCCGUUGUGAAAACUCGAGGCUCAACCUCGAGACGCCGAUGGAAACCAUCUGACUAGAGUCCGGAAGAGGAAAGUGGAAUUCCUGGUGUAGCGGUGAAAUGCGCAGAUAUCAGGAAGAACACCCGUGGCUAAGGCGGCUCUCUAGUACGGUACUGACGCUGAGACGCGAAAGCGUGGGGAGCGAACAGG